AUUGAACGCUGGCGGCAGGCUUAACACAUGCAAGUCGAGCGGGGUGAUGGUGCUUGCACUAUCACUUAGCGGCGGACGGGUGAGUAAUGCUUAGGAAUCUGCCUAUUAGUGGGGGACAACAUCUCGAAAGGGAUGCUAAUACCGCAUACGUCCUACGGGAGAAAGCAGGGGAUCACUUGUGACCUUGCGCUAAUAGAUGAGCCUAAGUCGGAUUAGCUAGUUGGUGGGGUAAAGGCCUACCAAGGCGACGAUCUGUAGCGGGUCUGAGAGGGUGAUACGCCACACUGGGACUGAGACACGGCCCAGACUCCUACGGGAGGCAGCAGUGGGGAAUAUUGGACAAUGGGGGGAACCCUGAUCCAGCCAUGCCGCGUGUGUGAAGAAGGCCUUAUGGUUGUAAAGCACUUUAAGCGAGGAGGAGGCUCUUUUGGUUAAUACCCAAGAUGAGUGGACGUUACUCGCAGAAUAAGCACCGGCUAACUCUGUGCCAGCAGCCGCAGUAA
rnacentral:rRNA from 1 species